ACGGCGGGGCGGGGGGGGGCGGCCCGGGGGCGGCAGAGCCCUCCCCCUUGGCGCCGAGGGGAGCCGGGCGGCAUGUGCUGAAGUGCCCCGCAGAAGCCGCACAAGUUGCCUGCGCGGCGCGGUCCCGGCGGCCGGACGGCGGGGAGCGCUCGCCGGCUCCUGCCCGAUCCCGUCCCGUCCCGUCCCCCCCGCCCGGGGGCUGCCGGCAGCCAGGGUGAUGCGGCUCGUCGGGAAGUGAGAGGCGGCGCGUCCCCGUGUCCCCCCCCCUACUCCACCACCCCGGGCCGAGGGUCGUGGUCGUCCGUGUCGUGUGUGUGUUUCCCCCCCCCCCCCCCGACUCGGAGCCUCCCAUGCUUUCGGGGCCCCCUCGGGGGGCGGCGGCCCCGCGGGAGGCGGGGGCGGUGCUGCCGUGAUGGCCCUGGAGGAGAAACGGGAGAAGCGCCCGCCCGUCACCCCCAUGAUGAUCGAGGAGGAGGCCGCCCUGCGGAACGGCAGCCGGGGGCUCCCGCCGGGCCCCUGGGCCGAGGCGGCGGGGCCGAGACCCCGCACCACGGAACGGCACAUCGCCGUGCACAAGCGGCUGGUGCUGGGCUUCGCCGUCUCCAUCCUGGCGCUGCUGGCGGUGACCAUGAUCGCCGUGCUGCUCAGCGUCCGCUUCGAGGAGUGCGGCGCUGCCGCCGACGGCCCGCCGCGGGCCGGCGGCAACGGGAGCCUCCCGGGGGCGGCCCGGCAGCCCCCCGGCCGGCCGGAGGAGGAGGAGGAGGAGGAGGCGCGGGGCGGGGAAGCGGCGGUGGCGGCGGAGGAAGAGGAGGAGGAGGAGGAGGAGGAGUGGCAGCGGCGGCGGGAGCUGCCGCCCUGGGCCCGGCCGCGGCUGCCGCGGCACCUGCGGCCGCUGCACUACAACCUGAUGCUGAGCGCCUUCAUGGAGAACUUCACCUUCAGCGGGGAGGUGAACGUGCAGCUGGAGGUGCACAACGCCAGCCGCUACAUCGUGCUGCACGCCCACCGCAUGCACAUCGAGGCGGUCCGCGUAGCCGAGGACAAGCUGGCCGGCGGCGUGCGGGUGGCCCGCUCCUUCCUCUACCCCCAGACCCAGGUCUUCGUCGUCGUCCUCAACCGCAGCCUGGAGGCGCAGAGAAGUUACAACCUCAAGAUCAUCUACAACGCCCUCAUCGAGAACGAGCUGCUGGGCUUCUUCCGCAGCUCCUACGUCCUCCACGGCGAGAGAAGGUUUCUUGGUGUUACGCAGUUUUCUCCUACUCAUGCCAGAAAAGCCUUUCCUUGCUUUGAUGAGCCCAUCUACAAGGCCACUUUCAAAAUCAGCAUCAGGCAUCAAGCAACUUACUUAUCUUUGUCCAACAUGCCAGUUGAAACUUCUGUUUUCGAAGAAGAUGGAUGGGUUACAGAUCACUUUUCACAGACCCCUCUCAUGUCCACGUAUUACCUAGCUUGGGCAGUGUGCAAUUUUACAUACCGUGAAACUGUCACCAAGAGUGGAGUAGUUGUACGGUUAUAUGCAAGGCCUGAUGCAAUCCGAAGAGGAUCGGGGGACUAUGCUCUAAAUAUUACAAGGAGACUCAUUGAAUUUUAUGAAGAUUAUUUUAAAGUGCCGUAUUCCCUGCCAAAAUUAGAUCUGUUAGCUGUGCCUAAGCACCCAUAUGCUGCUAUGGAGAACUGGGGACUGAGUGUUUUUGUGGAGCAAAGGAUACUGCUAGAUCCAAGCAUUUCUUCUAUAUCAUACCUACUGGAUGUCACCAUGGUCAUUGUACAUGAGCUAUGUCAUCAGUGGUUUGGUGACCUUGUGACUCCAGUUUGGUGGGAGGAUGUGUGGUUGAAAGAAGGUUUUGCUCACUAUUUUGAAUUUGUCGGGACAGACUACCUCUACCCAGGGUGGAACAUGGAAAAGCAGAGAUUUCUGACAGAUGUCCUACAUGAAGUGAUGUUGCUGGAUGGUUUAGCCAGUUCACAUCCAGUAUCCCAGGAGGUGCAGCAAGCCACCGACAUUGACAGGGUGUUUGACUGGAUCGCCUAUAAAAAGGGUGCAGCUCUAAUUCGAAUGUUGGCUAACUUUAUGGGUCACUCUGUGUUUCAAAUGGGCUUACAAGACUAUUUAACCAUUCACAAGUAUGGCAAUGCAGCCAGAAAUGAUCUCUGGAACACAUUGUCAAAGGCUUUGAAAAGGGUUGGAAAAUCUGUAAAUAUCCGAGAAGUAAUGGAUCAGUGGACACUACAGAUGGGUUAUCCUGUUAUCACUAUCUUGGGAAAUGAAACUACAGACAAUGUCAUAGUGAUCUCCCAAGAGCGUUUUGUUUAUGAUAGUGAUGCUAAACCCAAGGAUCCUGCCCUUGGAGACAGCAGCUACUUGUGGCAGAUUCCAUUAACAAUUGCAGUAGGAAAUACGAGCCACAUCUCAUCAGAGGCAAUUAUAUGGGUGUCUAACAAAUCAGAACACCACAGAAUUCCUGCUUUAGAUGAGGCAAGUUGGUUGCUGGGGAACAUCAACCAGACUGGCUACUUUAGAGUUAAUUAUGAUACUAGGAAUUGGAGGCUGCUAAUUAAUCAGCUAACGAGGAACCAUGAGGUUAUCUCUGUCAGUAAUCGAGCAGGCUUGAUCGAUGAUGCAUUCAAUCUAGCCAGAGCUGGUUAUUUGCCUCAGAAUAUUCCUUUGGAGAUUAUCAGAUACCUUUCAGAGGAGAAGGAUUUUCUGCCUUGGCAUGCUGCCAGCCGAGCUCUUUAUCCUCUAGAUAAGUUGUUGGACCGCACAGAAAGCUACAACAUCUUCAAUGAGUAUAUUUUAAGACAAGUUGCAUCAAUGUAUCUCAAGCUUGGAUGGCCAACGAAUAAUUUAAACAAAUCGCUUGUUCAGGCAUCAUACCAACAUGAAGAGUUGCGUCGGGAAGUCAUCAUGUUGGCCUGCAGCUUCGGUAACAAACACUGUCACCAGCAGGCUGCAACGUUAAUCUCAGAUUGGAUUUCUAGCAAUAGGAACCGAAUCCCACUCAACGUGAGGGACAUUGUCUACUGUACAGGAGUUUCACUGAUGGAUGAAGAUGUAUGGGAGUUCAUUUGGAUGAAAUUUCAUUCUACCACAGCAGUGUCUGAGAAGAAAAUAUUAUUAGAAGCCUUAACUUGCAGUGAUGACAGAAACUUGCUCAAUAGGCUUUUGAAUUUGUCUCUCAACUCAGAAGUUGUCCUGGAUCAGGAUGCAAUUGAUGUGAUAAUCCACGUAGCUCGAAAUCCACAUGGAAGGGAUCUUGCUUGGAAAUUUUUCAGAGAAAAAUGGAAAAUAUUAAAUGCUAGGUACGGAGAAGCAUUAUUUAUGAAUUCGAAGCUUAUCAGUGGGGUCACAGAAUUCCUCAAUACCGAAGAAGAACUAAGAGAGCUAAAGAACUUUAUCAGGAGUUACGAAGAGGGAGCUGCUGCCUCUUUCUCUCGCGCCGUGGAAACAGUAGAAGCCAAUGUGCGGUGGCAAAGGCUUUAUAAGGAAGAACUAUUCCAGUGGCUAAGAAAAUCCUUGACACACUAAUCUGUCUUUCCGUUCGACCAUUGAACAUGAAGCUCUGCAAGAGGAAGAGGAGACGUUUUAGAAGUGUUCAACAUUAAAAUCGUGAAUACAAGAUCAGAUUGCAAGGAUAAGGUUUUUUUCCUUUUUUUUUUUUUUAAAUUAUGGGAUUUUUUUUUUUUACACUGGGCUUUUGUGAAAUUGUCAAGAAGCUUUUCAGAAGAGAAGAUCACGAAUGCUUGUGAAAUCCAGUCCUCAGUGUACACAACCAAACAUGAUAUUAAGUGGUGCAUGUAAACGUUGAAGAAAAACAAACAAAAAACCCUUCGAAGACUAUUUUGUGCAUGCUUGUACCGUCCCUGCCUGUAUUCUAGCAUGCUUAUGUAUAACAGCCACAUUUUGUAUGUGAGUUCCAGUUACAUCAAAGAUGGGCAUUAUACAAAGCACAAAGACUAUCUACGACAAUCAGUGUUGCAAUGAACAAAAGGAAAGCAAGGAAAAGGAAAUACAGAAGGCUUCCAACUUGGGGCAGUAUGAGAUGUAAAGUCAACUUUCCCACUAGCUGCCAAUUAGUGUACCACUCGUAUUGUCUCUUAUAUGAUUACAAAGAUGCCAGCUCAUUUUUUGAGUUGCCAGUUGUUGUAUCUGCAUUCUCCAUAUUUAAAUAAGCAGAAUAUAAAGAGAGAAGAGAAAGAGAAAGGGGCGAGGAGGAGGGGAGGGAGAGAAAACGAGAAGGACAUCAUCCAUGUGUUAUAAUCACACACAUUUAUUCACUGCUGAUCAGUGGAACAGUGUAGUUUUAGCUGUGAAUGUAUACAGUGUUGGAGGGGAACUUUGCAUUGAUGUCACAGAAUCCAUGAACCACCUCUUCCCAGCUAUUUGACAAGGCAGUGAUACUCACGAUGGGUCACCCAACCUGUGCAGUAGUAAGUUAUGCAGCUGAUAGUGCACAAGUAUUAUAAAUAAACAUAAGAUUCAAAUGGAAAUUAGCAAAAAGGGAGAAUAUCUUGCAUGCAAAGGCAUAAAAUUACCCAAGAGGGCUGUCUUGCAUGUGGUAGACCAGCCUCUGUAGCGAUUUAUUAUGAUAGACAGGUCAGCUUCUCUAUGUGGGCAAUACUUUUGCAAGUACGGGAUGUACCGUUUAUGCCAAGUUAGAAAAGUGAAAUAUGGAGAAAGAGAGGGGCGGGGAGUGUGUUUAUUUGUACUGGCUAAUACCGAGAACACUGUUUUCUUUCUGUUUCCUUGUAUUUAACAUAGACCAUUGUAGAUGAUUGACACUUUUCUUAAUCAUACGCUUGUUUCUUUUUUCUCAAUCCUUAAUCUGAAAGAUCAGUGAGACAGUGGAACUGCUACUUGUACAAUGACUGUCUGCACCAUUGGUGCUAAGUGUUAAGGAUAAAACUGAUGGGGGCCAAAUACUCUCCCACGUCUACACUGGGGAGAAAAAAACCACAAAACUACAGGGAGUUUUCAAGAGGCAGAUUGCAGCAUCUUCAGAGGGGGAAUGUAGAUGUAUGACAGUGUUUCUGUAUCCCAUCCCAGGCUAUCACAACCAUCUGACCACCUCAUGGCCCUGUACAUUGGGAACAUGUGGCCAGCCAAAGUAGAGAGCAGCCAUUUGAUCUGGUUGUCUCUUUCCCAAGGCGUGGAAGUUACCAACACGCUUUACGGUUGCAGUUGCUUAUCCCCAGUAAGUUGUGAAUUGAAACGUUAGCGCGAAAAGAACCAAACCCAAGCAUCUUCGGAUAUUGUCAGAGUUGUGUGGAGACAGUAUUGUUUUCUGGGCUCUCAUUCCCAUGGUACUCCGCGCCUCAAGAACUGGUAGACACAUCCCAUAACGAAGCUGUCGUACCCAUCUUGAGCCUGUCGUUUUAUGUUUUUUACUGUGCAGAGGGUGCUGUUUGUGGAUUGGGUGCAUGAAAACCUGGUGUGGGCAUUUGGUCCACUGUUUGGUGCUGCCUAGCACCGCAUGUUAGCUUGACCACAUAUAACCAAAAGAAGAGGGAAUGCUGUGCUCUGGUACUGUUAACUCUUUGCCUUAUAGUAAGCCCUAAACCUUUGUGCUGUGUUGCAAUGCUAGUGAACCUCAUGCCCAGAGACAUUAUCAUGUCCAAGUUGAGUGAAAUCCUCCUCCUCCUCCUCCUAUGUAUUUUACCUACCUCACAGGGGUGUUGUGAGGCUUGACUAAUGUUAGCAAAGCACUUGAAUAUCCUCUGAUGAAAGGCAUUUAAAAGUGCAAAGUAUUAUUUUGUGUGGUUGACCAAACUCAACCUCAAUGCCGGUAUGUAGCAUCACAUUAUUAAUUUCUACUGAACAAAAUCACAUGCAGAUUUGUUAUAAUAAAAAAGCAGGCCAAAUGUUCUUUAAUAUAACUUCUACCCUGUAAUGAAGGCCAAAAUUAUGAUAUCCAAAGAGUGUGCAGAAAGCCAAGCCCUCAAACGUGAAUUGCUUUGAGGAUUUCAGAGAUAAGAAGUUUGCGUAAUGGUCUGUCCCUUUGCAAUUCUGUUCAAGAUUGUCCUUGAUGACUUUUCUGUUUCAGCACCACAGAUUAAACUACAUACCUCCAGGAUGCACAUAGAAGUUUCUGGUCUUUCCGCUGAUGAAGGGCAGGCUAACAGUUUGUUCCAAAGUCAAAAGUUUAUUUCAACCUCUGUGUUCUGCACAGUGCAUGCAAAUUUCCGGUGUUGCUCAUUUGAACUGAAGUUCUUGCACUUUUAGCUGGUGUUGGAUGUAAACUAAUAUUUUAGUGGCCUUGAGCAACUGGUCUACCACAGAUAUCAAGCCCUAAAUGUAUCUAUUAUACAUACCUAUUGAUGUAUUGCUUAUAAUUGUUGUAUUCUAGUAAUGUUGGUAUUACUUCUUUAGCUAAGGUUGAGCUGGCCUUUCCAUUAUAAUUCCCUAUUCUUUUUUUUUUUUAUAUUUUGUAUUUUGCUGUUUCACACUGAAUCAGUAUUAAAUUUAAAUGGAUUAAAUCUAGCAAAACUACAGCUGUUUUCUGCAAUAUUCAACCCCCUUGCAUUUAAUUAUAUGUCCUUAGAAACUUUUUUUAAUAAGAAGUUCCACACAGCUGUGUGUUAAAGAAUAGUUGAUACCUCAUGGAAAACUCUAAUACGGUUUGCUUAGAAAAAUCUAUUCAUCUUAUUGAUUUUCCUUCUCCUUUACCAGUCCUUUUUUUCCUUUGUCCUUAUCUAACGAUGGGACCCAUUUUUAUGAUUUGGAUUGUGAUUAGGAAGCCAAAUACCCCCAAAUUUUCAGCGUUUUCAAAUCCAGGAUUUAAUUUUGUCCUUUCUAGUGAGAGAAGGUGCUGCAAAACAUGGAUCCAGUGUGGACGUGGACCUCACCCAAGCCCUGGGUAUAAUUUUACAGAGAUUUGAUGAGACCUGUAUCUCUAAUCCGCCUUUGUAUGACUCAGGAUCCUUUGCAGUUAUUAGUUGUUACGGCUUACUAAAUCAUAUAGGAAGACAUAUGAAUAGAUACGAUUUUAUGCCAGCGUAACAAUAUACCUAUUGUAAAAAUACCUACUGUAUUUUUAUAACAUUGUCUACUACAAAAAUCUCAGCCUAUUACUUUGUAGCUGGUAGAAUUAUUCAUUUAUCCACUGCUAAUAGCUGUUAAAAUGAUAGUAGCUACUAAUUGCGACCAGGGCAGAACAAUGUGAAAACAUUCUUCUGAAAUGAAAUGUCACUUCUGCUAUUACUGGGAGUACUUGGACAUUGAUUUUGAUGAAAAAAACUUCCUGUGUCCUUAAGAACAUCCAAAUCUGUGACCUUUGAUGAUAUUUUCAGUGAAUAUAGUAAGAAUUGUGAUACUGUGUUGGAAACUGAAGAUGAAUUUUGUGUAGCUUUUGGGCUGUUGUGGAUAUUUCACUGAGCUUUUAGACUGUCAAAGGAAACAUCUCGACUGAUGCAGAAGGCUGCUUUCACAGCAAGGAUCCUGAACCAUACAAUUAAAUCCUUAGUAGUAAAGAAUAAAAGAAGAAAAUAUUUUUUAUAUAUAUAUUCAUGUGAAAAAUUCUCUGUAGAUAUAACUUUCCCAUAAAUUAUCAGUAAGUCUGAUCAUUUGGAUAGAAUAAAGUGAAGCCAAUAUUUGCAGAUGAGGGUGCCUUUGUUUAGAUACCUGCAUAAUAAGGUUUUGGUUUGCCACAUGAUCGUAGCCAAUACUGAAGUCAAUGAAAAUAGAUUUUGAGCCAAAUGCGCCACCUUCUCUUUGAGGAAAAGGGAUGUGGCUUUGAAAACUGCUUAUGCGUAUAAUCAACUUGCCACCACUUCUGUUACGAGUACUCACCGUGGCAGGCUGCCUGUCCUAAGCAGGGUUUAUAGCCACAGUGUCAGUACGAGCGUGAAGGAGUAAAAGGACCGUCCUGCUUCCGAGCAGCCUGGCUAUGGGCUGUUUGCCCACCGUUGGAUGGAGCAGUCCAAAAACUGCUGGCUGCAUCGUCCGCCGCUGCUGCCAGCCCACCCGGGUCGGGAAGGCAGCUGGGAAUCACUGAAGUGCAGAGAGGCUCCAUCCAAGUUUCUCUCAGCUAGACGGGAGGGACGGAAGGUCCCUUUGCCUGUUGUGGGUUGUGGGAGAUCUUCAGAGAUUAGUGUCAUCGCCUUGUGCUAGCAGGGAACAAAGUGAGCCUGCAUUGCACAGAGAAACCUAAAUCCCUGAGCUCUGGUCACCCCAGCUGCUGACUAAAAUCCUUGUAGAGGUCUAGAAUAUUAAGAACCAAGUUCUUCAGAAGCCAUUUGAAAUGGUCAAAAAAAAUUUUGAUUUGUCAGUGCAUAAAAACGCAGAGAGUCUUUAUGGUAUUUUUGUUAAUGUUGAAAAUGUGCCGUGAGUUACUCAGGCUUUUUUCUAACAAAGGGUUUGGAAGGAUUAAGGGUAGUAAUAGUAGUCACUGUACUAAUAACAUCAAAAAAUUUCGGAUGCCUGUGCAAACCUGUAUGGCACUAGUGUUGGUCCGGUUCCCUUUUUGCAUACAAAACUGUAAAAAAUUGGCCACUUUGUUUCUCAUGUGACUGUGGAAGCUUCUGCCUGUCUUAAAACCAAUGCUGAAACCCAGCAAAACCACUUUGACUUGAGCAAGUAGUCCAUGGUGACAUGAGUAAUUUAGUCUGCAGUGAGAAGGAAAGGGAGAAGGGGACUGCUACAUGUAAGGAUUUUUCACCAAAGAGAUGCCACGUGCCCUAGUUGGAGCAGAAGUUUGAAAUCAAGUAUAUUUUGAAGAAGCUUGUGGAACUUAGCUCCAUCUUUUGUCUUUAGGCUGACGGUGGAGGAUAGAAUACCCCCACAUGAUAACGCAGUUGAGGUUGGAUUUUGUAAAACAGGUGUGGAGCUGCUUUCAUUGAGAUGUGUUUAUGGAGAAUCACCCACAAGAGCAAGUGCUGUGGGUCAGACCCAGUGUCCUUUCUCAGAAAAACUGCAUUUAUAUUUGGCUGAUUUGUAACUAGCGAAGUCAGCGCGACUUUGCCAAGCAGCAUUUCUGAACGCUUUGCCUAUUUUACGUGCGCUCUUUCCUAAAGCUAUCAAAGUGAUGUUGGUAGAGCACGUAGAGACGAGCAGCGCUGCGGCAGGCGGUCACGAGCCAGGAGGCUUUGGCCAGAGUGCCCCAACCUUUCCUGGAGAGCAUCGCUUGGAUUUGCCCGAGACGUAUGGUCUUGGUACAACGGGCGAGGCCAAGAGCCGAGAUGCAGCCGUAGUUCUCUGCGAUACGUUUCAGUCCGCUUAAUACGUCCAUUUCUGUAAUUUCACAAUAACCUGUAGCCAAACUGACAACACGUGUGGGUGGCCUCGGAUCCUCCGGUGGCGCACGGUGCGGUAGAUCCGUUGAAGUGACUGAUGUGAAUUGCAGCUGAGGAUCUGGCCCGUUGCUUUCAAAAGAGCCCCCUGAGGUGACGGCCGGGCUGGUGUACAGGAUGUUUCACCUAUUUCUGUGUUUCGGUAGCGCAUAUUGGAUGACAAGUGUUUUUUGUUUUCCUUUCGCUUUUCGUUAGACGAAUACUUUGCGAUCGGUUCCAAUGUGAUAAAGCUUUGUAAUAUGUUCGGAGAACUGUGGAAUACCGUACUGUGAAGAGUGUGGCUACUACCCACUCUUUUUCCUGCAAACAGUAUAUUUCAGCAGAGAUGGACUUCCCUGGACUUAGACACUCUGUGAAAAAAAAUGUUCUGACAGUUUCUAAUGGAAACAUCAUUGUAAUUACUGUAUAACUACCCUGUACAAAGACAGCUUUAUUAUAUGUGUAAAUGUAAUUUUGCUAUGUUGUUUUUAUGUUUGAGGGACAAUAGGCUUUGGUGCGGGUGAGACGUAUAGCCUUAUAAAAACAGAGAUUGUAGCUCCCUGUCUGAUGUUUUACUGAAAGGUGUUCAGCUGCUCUAUUUUUGCAGAAGAUAAACAUAAACCAGUUCCCUGAAAACUAAUGAUCUAUUCCGCUACACACACGUCAAUGACAUAAAUGGAUCAUACUAUUGAAAAUAAAGGCUUGAUAAUAAAUUGCA